rnacentral:rRNA from 1 species
GACAGGGGGUGCAAGCGUUGCUCGGAAUUACUGGGCGUAAAGCGCACGUAGGCGGUCCCGUAAGUCGGGUGUGAAAGCCCUCAGCCUAACUGAGGAACUGCGCCCGAUACUGCGGGGCUAGAGGACGGGAGGGGAGAGUGGAAUUCCUGGUGGAGCGGUGAAAUGCGUAGAUAUCAGGAGGAAUACCAGUGGCGAAGGCGACUCUCUGGUCCGUUCCUGACGCUGAGGUGCGAAAGCUAGGGGAGCAAACGGG